AAUCACCUAAAAGCUGAACUAGAAAUUGCAGAAGGACUUGACACCAAAUAGGCUUUUAUAGGCAUGAUCACAAUGAUCGUGAACAAGGGUGCACCGGACCCAACAGGUACAUGUAGUGCGGCGGGCAGCUGGGUUUGGAAGCUGGAUGGACGAAGUGCUGGAACUGGUUCUGGUAGGCAAAGGUGUCCUUUGUACUGCUGCUGGAGUGAAAGCUAUGGAUAAAUCUGUUCUCCAUGUAGUUCGGAGCAUUGGAAUUCAACGUAAUUGCAGUUACAAGAAGCACGGGUACCAACGAUAAAGGAAGCUGCUGUACAACAAAGCAAGGAAAUGAACAGAUGUUUAUCAGCACAGACAUGAGGGCAGUCUUCACACUGUGGCCUCAGUAUCAUUGAUGGAUAAGAGCAGUUGAAGCAGGAGUGAUCAUGAGAAGGAUGAGAACAGCUUCAUCAAUCUACUGGUAGCAAGACUGCAGCCGACAGGAAGUGAGAUUUACUUGCACCCUUCAUGCUGCUGCUUAGAAUUCAAUGUAACUGCAGUUACAUGUACAUUAGAUGCACGGCCAUCCACACUGAAGGAAGCUGCUGCACAACCAAGCAAGGAGAUUAACAGAUGAUGGCGAAAAGGCCUACUGUUACAUUGACAUACAGACAUAUUACCAGUUCUGAUUAAUGCAGUCAUGAUGAAUCAAUGUUUGUGUGUACAAUGUAUGUCUGGGAGAGUAUAUCCAUGUACCAUCAACAUUAAUGGUGCCCCCAUGAACAGCCACAUGCCUGCCCCCUCCCCCUUGAACAUUCAGGUCCCCACGUACUCCCCAUUUAGUGAGAACACACAAGAAAUGGCCAGUUUUGAUAAAUGCUAUCAUGAAGCAAAGAGAGGAGGGGGACCCAUGCAUGUACUAAUGCAAAUCAUUCAUUGAUCAAUAUCCACAUAUCCAGUCCCCCAUUGUAACAUUCCUUCCAUAUGUACCCAAGUGAUAUCAAAAGUGCUAAAACUUCUUACACCUUUUUCCAAGCCUCAACAUAUAACUGAAGCACAGUGAAUUAAUAUUUUCCUUGUUUUAGAUGACACACAAGAAUUUUUACCAGCACAUACACAAAGUCUUUUGACACGUUGGUGUGGUCGAUAGAAAUGCAUUUCGUAUCAAGACUGUUCUAAGGCAGUACUUAAUUAAAAUACCAUAAUUAUCUAAAAAACUGCAACCAAUAGGACCUGAGAUAUAUAAAUAUAUGUGUACAUGUCCCCAGCAUGCUUUAUUCAAGAUUACUGCAGAACUGGUGAACACAGCUUUCAGAAGCAUUAUGCAAAGUUUUCAGCGGUCACAAAAUCCUGAUAUUUUAAAGGUGUUCCCGUGUCUUUUUUAGUAUGUAGGGCAAAACAAUCUUUACCAGUAUUUAUGUAAUAAUAGUGAAAUGUCCGAAACCACAAAUAUACAUGUAGUUUUUCUCUUUUCCUCUAUACAUAGAAAGGACAGUUUAACAUUCUUUAACUGAUAAUCCUUCAACUUCUGGAUCAGUUUCACUGUUCAAUAUGUUGAGUGUAGCUCUGAACACAUGCUUUUAUUCCACAAUCAGAGUUUGUGCUGCUGUGCACUCGCAGAUACAGUUGUUAAAAGUAAUCAUUUGUCCAGUUACUGACAAUGGGAAAUAAUAAUGUACAUUUGAAAGAAU
rnacentral:lncRNA from 1 species